UGCUCACUUGCAAGCGAGGAGGCGGCGGCGGUGGCUAAUCCUUCUAACGAUGAUUUUCUCCUUGCAGUAUUUCUUUUUGCUGACCAUAGACUUACUACUCGCGAUGACCCUUUCCUGCCUCUUUUAUGCCCUUGUAUGCAUUUCCAUCGCAUUUUUGACGUGCUUCAUUAUCGUCUCCUUCGGCAUUGUGGAGAGGAAUGUUGAUGUGAAAGGGAGAGCAAUUGUAAUUCUCAUGUCCAACAGCUCCAUUGGGAAGAUGUUUGCGAGGAACCUGGAUAAAGCAGGCUUUAGGGUGUCUGCUGCAUACUGGCCUCCUCGAGAGGAAGGGACAGCUACGGAAGAAGAGUGCUCUUCAAGCAUGGAGGCAGCCCAGCUCCACAUGACCAAAGAUGAGUAUCAGAAGACAAUGAAAACCUUCAUAGAAAGCCACUUAUCCCUGAAAGGGGAAGGAGCCUGCUCUGGUGGCUGUGAAAGGCCCCAGUAGACCCCAGUCCCUGGAGGAAGGCAAGGUAGGCCAAGGAAUGAGGGGGAGAAGGUCCCACCAAGGCACAGAGGGCUGGACUCACUCUGGGGAGAAAACACAGGGAUGAACAAGGCGGGAGCAGAGGCUCAGACAGUGACCUGAGAUGAAGGAAUGUGUCUGAUUUUUAACCUCUUCUGGAUUAAAAAACCUGGGGUCCCUCUUGACUUCUUGCCUGGUGUGGGAUUCAUAAGAAACUGUCAGGUCAGAGCUUUGGCUGGCGGGUUGGGAUUGUCUCUCUGAACCACGCUGCUGUCGUUUCUGCGGGGAUACGGGACUGAAAGCAACCUGAAGAGCUCACCUGGGACAGCACGAGGCAAGUGUGCGACUGAGGGGAUGGCUGUAAGCACUUCUGCUGGGGAAUCUCCCCAGUUCUCUCUAGGUGGGAGAUGCAGGGUGCCAAUGGGCAGGCUAGCUUACACCCUAGCUGAAUUAGCUCCACUAUCCAGGAGUCUCUGUCCUCGCAGCCGUACUUUUACACCUCUUGGGGGGGGGUGACAGAAAAUUCAGCCUCAGCCACCAGGGCUGUAACCUCACUGCCUGCAGGGCUACGGGGUUACAAGAGAAGAAGCCACUGUGAACCUCUCUAAAGCAUGUCUGAGCAGUGAAGCUCUCUCACUGCUUCCCCAUACUGCCUCUUCCUUUCUCCAGCUUCUCCAUCCCUUUCCUCCUUGCUCUUCUCUCUGUGAUUUCUCUGAGGUUCCCUUUGAGGUCUCCCCAGGGCAGCCUCACUGCUUGCUCACACUGAGCCGAGAUCUCACCAUGACAACUGAAAAGACCCUUUGCAUUGCUGCCCAGCACUGAAAGUUGUCUUUGUGCUCCCAGGCUCUGCAGAGGAAGGACACUUUGGAAGUCGGAGCAGGCACCACGAAGCCUCCCCUACUGCAGACACCCUUCAGGGAGGCGAAGCAUCCAGCAGACCAGAAGUGCCUGCGGUCAGAUCCUGUGUGACUCUGCAUGGCCCAGGAUACAUCCCUCCACAUUCACUAGCAGCCUGCAGGCUUCAGGAACGGGUGCACUGCACACCAACAGAGGGUUUCAGACCAAGCACUCAGCUGCCUGCAUGAGUAUUUAGGCUAAUUUGUGCUAGUAGAAUUAUUCUGGUAAAACUUGCCUGUGUGGACAAGGCCUAAAAGCUCACAAGGCCGAGUACCACCACACACCUGCUCUGGAAACGAACAACAGAGACCUUCUUAACCAGUAAUGCUCCAUGGGAGCUGGUGAUUUCUGUGGGUCUGUGCUCUUUUCAUUAAAUGAGGAUCUGGCCCAGUGAUAUCUGCCUUUUUUGCUUUUGAAUACUUUGAUCACUGUGCUAGUUAAGGCAUUUUGCAGGUUUUUUUUUGUUUUUUUUUUUUUUUUUUUGACAGUGUACUCUAUUGUAGGAACCAUGAGGUUUAACAUUUAGGAUCUCCUGCAUACUAUUCACACCCCAGAUGGGGAUGUUAAAAUGUAUUUCCCAAGAGCUGACCCAAUUGCAUGGCAGAUCAAAGCACUGUGUUGGGGUGGGAGAAGGGAGAGAAAAAGAAAACAAAAGAAACCUCACAGUUUUCUUGGAUUUCUUUGUUAACAGUUUCGAAUGAAUUCUGGUGUUCAUACUGUAAGAUUUGCUGUAAUAUUUGUGGCAUGGGUUGAGUGAACAUGAACACCUGCCACCGGCUGACUGAUAAUAAAACAAUUUAAACCAAA